GGAUGAUAAUGACAGUACCUGGUAAAGAAACCCCGGCUAACUCCAUGCCAGCAGCCGCGGUAAUACGGAGGGGGUUAGCGUUGUUCGGAAUUACUGGGCGUAAAGCGUACGUAGGCGGAUUGGAAAGUUGGGGGUGAAAUCCCAGGGCUCAACCCUGGAACUGCCUCCUAAACUGUCAAUCUAGAGUUCGAGAGAGGUGAGUGGAAUUCCAAGUGUAUAGGUGAAAUUCGUAAAUAUUUGGAGGAACACCAAUGGCGAAGGCGGCUCACUGGCUCGAUACUGACGCUGAGGUACGAAAGUGUGGGGAGCAAACAGGAUUAGAUACCCUGGUAGUCCACACCGUAAACGAUGAAUGCCAGUCGUCGGGCAGUAUACUGUUCGGUGACACACCUAACGGAUUAAGCAUU
rnacentral:rRNA from 1 species